CAAUCGAAUCAAAUCAAGCCAAAUCGAGCAUUGCUUCAUGCAAGUUUCAGUUUUCGAAAAGAUGCCACCGGCAAAGCAUGUAGUUGCUGCAGGAGGACGUUGUUCUAGGAUGCAAAUCAGGAAGGACAGGGACAAAACAUAGAUUUCCAAAAGAUCUUGCAAAAUGUGAAGCUUGGAAACGAAUUAUUUGUAACAAUGCUUUAACCCUUUGAAGCAUACAUUUUUCUUUACAUUGAAUUUAGCUGAAAUUUGUCACUCGGGGGUUUUUGGGGUCGCUGAUUACGAAUCUGACCUUACAUUUUCAAAAUUCAAAAUGGCGGAUCCAAUAUGGCG